UACGUAGGGGGCAAGCGUUGUCCGGAAUCAUUGGGCGUAAAGAGCGUGUAGGCGGCCCGAUAAGUCCGCCGUGAAAGUCCAGGGCUCAACCCUGGAAUGCCGGUGGAAACUGUCGGGCUGGAGUCCGGAAGAGGCGAGUGGAAUUCUCGGUGUAGCGGUGAAAUGCGUAGAUAUCGAGAGGAACACCAGAGGUGAAGACGGGUUGCUGGGCUGACACUGACGUGAGGCGCGAAAGCCAGGGGAGCAAACGGG
rnacentral:rRNA from 1 species